rnacentral:rRNA from 1 species
UACGUAGGGGGCAAGCGUUGUCCGGAAUCAUUGGGCGUAAAGCGCGUGUAGGCGGCCAGAAAAGUCCGCUGUGAAAACUCGAGGCUCAACUUCGAGACGUCGGCGGAAACCAUCUGGCUAGAGUCCGGAAGAGGCGAGUGGAAUUCCCGGUGUAGCGGUGAAAUGCGCAGAUAUCGGGAGGAACACCAAUGGCGAAGGCAGCUCGCUGGGACGGUACUGACGCUGAGACGCGAAAGCGUGGGGAGCGAACAGG